rnacentral:rRNA from 1 species
CCCCUAGACGUUCUGGGCUGCACGCGCGCUACAAUAAUACGCACAGCGAGUAUCACCGAGCUCGAAAGGGCAAGGUAAACAAUAGAAAAGGUACUGUAAUGGUUAUAGAUCCUUGUAAUUAUUGAUCCUCAACGAGGAAUUCCUAGUAAGUAUGUGUCAUCAUCACGCACUGAUUACGUCCCUGCCCUUUGUACACACCGCCCGUCGCUCCUACCGAUUGAGUGAGCCGAUGAAACUGCCGGAUGUGGACUAUUCAUAGUCUGCAGAAGAUAUUUGAAUCGUAGCGCUUAGAGGAAGGAGAAGUCGUAACA